AGUGAACGCUGGCGGUAGGCCUAACACAUGCAAGUCGAACGGCAGCACAGUAAGAGCUUGCUCUUACGGGUGGCGAGUGGCGGACGGGUGAGGAAUACAUCGGAAUCUACUUUUUCGUGGGGGAUAACGUAGGGAAACUUACGCUAAUACCGCAUACGACCUACGGGUGAAAGCAGGGGAUCUUUGGACCUUGCGCGAUUGAAUGAGCCGAUGUCGGAUUAGCUAGUUGGCGGGGUAAAGGCCCACCAAGGCGACGAUCCGUAGCUGGUCUGAGAGGAUGAUCAGCCACACUAGAACUGAGACACGGUCCAGACUCCUACGGGAGGCAGCAGUGGGGAAUAUUGGACAAUGGGCGCAAGCCUGAUCCAGCCAGACCGCGUGGGUGAAGGAGGCCUUCGGGUUGUAAAGCCCUUUUGUUGGGAAAGAAAAGCAGCAGGUUAAUACCCCGCUGUUCUGACGGUACCCAAAGAAUAAGCACCGGCUAACUUCGUG
rnacentral:rRNA from 1 species